rnacentral:rRNA from 1 species
GACUCUCUUAAGGUAGCCAAAUGCCUCGUCAUCUAGUUGGAUGAUGAUGAA